rnacentral:rRNA from 1 species
UAACACAUGCAAGUCGAACGGUUAAGCCACCUUCGGGUGGGAAUAAAGUGGCGAACGGCUGAGUAACACGUGGGCAACCUGCCCCUCGCACCGGGACAGCCUCGGGAAACCGUGGAUGAUACCGGAUACUCCGCCUCCCCCGCAUGGGGAGGGCGGGAAAGCCCAGACGGCGAGGGAUGGGCCCGCGGCCUGUUAGCUAGUUGGCGGGGCAGCGGCCCACCAAGGCGAUGAUGGGUAGCCGGGUUGAGAGACCGACCGGCCAGAUUGGGACUGAGACACGGCCCAGACUCCUACGGGAGGCAGCAGUGGGGAAUCUUGCACAAUGGGCGGAAGCCUGAUGCAGCGACGCCGCGUGCGGGACGAAGGCCUUCGGGCUGUAAACCGCUUUCAGCAGGGACGAGGCGAAAGUGACGGUACCUGCAGAAGAAGCCCCGGCUAACUACGUGCCAGCAGCCGCGGUUAUACGUAGGGGGCAAGCGUUAUCCGGAUUCAUUGGGCGUAAAGCGCGCGUAGGCGGCCAGCCUGGUCGGGAGUCAAAUCCGGGGGCUCAACCCCCGUCCGCUCCCGAUACCGGCCGGCUUGAGUCUGGCAGGGGAAGGCGGAAUUCCCGGUGUAGCGGUGGAAUGCGCAGAUAUCGGGAAGAACACCGGUGGCGAAGGCGGCCUUCUGGGCCACGACUGACGCUGAGGCGCGAAAGCUAGGGGAGCGAACAGGAUUAGAUACCCUGGUAGUCCUAGCCGUAAA